rnacentral:rRNA from 1 species
AGCGAACGCUGGCGGCAGGCCUAACACAUGCAAGUCGAACGAACCUUUCGGGGUUAGUGGCGGACGGGUGAGUAACACGUGGGAACGUGCCUUUAGGUUCGGAAUAACUCAGGGAAACUUGUGCUAAUACCGAAUGUGCCCUUCGGGGGAAAGAUUUAUCGCCUUUAGAGCGGCCCGCGUCUGAUUAGCUAGUUGGUUGAGGUAAUGGCUCACCAAGGCGCCGAUCAGUAGCUGGUCUGAGAGGAUGAUCAGCCACAUUGGGACUGAGACACGGCCCAAACUCCUACGGGAGGCAGCAGUGGGGAAUCUUGCGGAAUGGGCGAAAGCCUGACGCAGCCAUGCCGCGUGAAUGAUGAAGGUCUUAGGAUUGUAAAAUUCUUUCACCGGGGACGAUAAUGACGGUACCCGGAGAAGAAGCCCCGGCUAACUUCGUG